UUUUUCUCUUGGCCCUCAUUAUCAUUGGUCACUUCCCACCAAACACUAAAUCAAAAGGCAACUAGUAAACAAACAGAACUAACCCUACCAUCACCACCAAAGUCUGAUGUAUGUAUAUGUUCCUUCCUGAAAAUGCAUAUGACUCACUUCUUUAAACAGCAAUUACAACUUUAACACUUGGUGCCAUCUUUAUCAGAUAACAUACCUACUUGACAUGAAAGAGUUCACUAACUACAACAGUUCUGCCGACUGUCGGUAGCUUGUCCCCACCAUUUCGCACGACUGGUCCCAAAAU
rnacentral:lncRNA from 1 species